UGCCUGUCUGGUCUCGGACGGUGAAGAAUUCUGGGUUCCGGCGUGGCCCACCCAUUUGGCCUAGAGGUCUUCCGGUCUCAAUCAGCUGCGUGUCUCCAGCUCUCGGCGGCCCACAGACUGCAGGCCGUAGGGAGCGUAAUUGCGACCGCGGCCUCAGGGGGAGGGACCCUACGCAGGGAGGGGCGUGACCGUCAUGUGACCAGGAAGUGCGGUUAACCACGUUGUCCGCGCGUCCGUGGCGCUUAUGGAUGACGUAAGACAAGAGGGCGGAGCGAGGAGGGAGACUGAAGUUCAGAUUCCGCUGUCAGUGCAGGGUGAGUGACUGGGCCCUGAGCCCAGAAAGUGAAUUGACAUCUUGAGAGUUGGGAGCGGCAGACCUGCAUGUGGUGGAGCGGAAUUUUGAUCUCUGGACUCCUGGUGUCUGAGCCUGGCUGUGAAAACUUGGUAACCCGGCGCUCCUCGCUUCAGAACAGCUGAAAGCAGUAUUAAAGUUACUGCUCUUAAAAAGUUUUUAUUCAGGGGAGGAAUACUGUGGUUGUAAUCGAACAACAACUUCUCUCUGGCUAAAUGACUUUUGUGCCAGCGAUCCCAGAGUCUUACAGCCAUGUUCUCACAGAGUUUGAGUCACUGGACUCAUUACUCUCAGCUCUGCGCCUGGACUCCAGUCGGCUAAAGUGUACCAGCAUAGCUGUGUCUCGGAAAUGGCUGGCCUUGGGCAGCUCGGGAGGAGGAGUCAAUCUCAUUCAGAAAGAAGGCUGGAAGCACAGGCUUUUUCUCUCACACCGGGAAGGUGCAAUUUUGCAGGUUGCCUGUUGUUCACACGAUGAUGAUUAUGUUGCUGUAGCUACUAGUCAAGGUCUUGUAGUUGUUUGGGAAUUAAAUCAAGAGCAUCGUGGGAAACCAGAACGAAUUUAUGUGUCUUCAGAACACAAAGGCCGAAAAGUUACAGCUCUCUUUUGGGAUACAGCUAUUCUUAGAGUCUUUGUAGGUGACCACGUGGGGAAAGUUUCUGCCAUCAAACUCAACACUUCUAAACAAGCAAAGGCAACUGCUGCCUUUGUGAUGUUUCCUGUUCAGACAAUAACAACAGUUGAUUCUUGUGUUGUCCAGCUAGAUUAUUUGGAAGGAAGACUCCUUGUAUCGUCACUUACUCGAUCCUUCCUGUGUGACACUGAGAGAGAAAAGUUCUGGAAAAUUGGAAACAAGGAAAGAGACGGAGAAUAUGGAGCUUGCUUCUUCCCUGGAAGGUGUUCUGGAGGCCAACAACCUCUAAUAUAUUGUGCUCGUCCUGGCUCCAGGAUGUGGGAAGUGAGCUUUGACGGGGAAGUUAAAAGUACACAUCAGUUCAAGAAACUCCUCUCUUUGCCACCUCUUCCAGUGAUUACUCCAAGAUCUGAGCCUCAGUAUGAUCAUACAGUGGGAUCCUCCCACUCUUUGUCUUUCCCCAGACUCUUGCAUCUUAGUGAGCAUUGUGUGCUGACUUGGACAGAAAAAGGAAUUUAUAUUUUUAUUCCUCAGAAUGUUCAAGUUCUUCUUUGGAGUGAAGUCAAAGACAUUCAAGAUGUGGCUGUCUACAAGAACGAGCUGUUCUGUUUACACCUGAAUGGGAAAGUCUCACAUUUUUCUCUGCUGUCUGUGGAGCGCUGUGUGGAACGUCUGCUAAAGAGGAAUCUGUGGGUCCUGGCUGCUCGCACAUGCUGUCUUUUCCAAAAUUCCAUCAUUGCCAGCAAAGCAAGAAAAACUUUGACUGUAGAUAAAUUGGAGCAUUUGAAAUCUCAGCUGGACCUUGAAACUUACAGUGAUCUAAUUUCUCAACUGGAUGAAUUGAUACUAAAAUUUGAACCUUUGGAUUCAGCUUGCAGCAGUAGAAGAAGCUCCAUUUCAUCACAUGAAAGUUUUAGUGUCUUGGACUCUGGUAUUUAUCGUAUCAUUAGUAGUAGAAGGGGCAGUCAGUCAGAUGAAGAUUCCUGCUCCCUUCAUAGCCAAACCUUCUCGGAAGAUGAGAGACUUAAAGAAUUCGCCUCACAUCCGGAAGAGGACCAGCCAGAUCCAGAUUGUGGCUCACAGGGAAAUGAAGAUAAUGUUUCUCAUGUUCCAGUGAUGUUUGAGACAGAUAAGAAUGAAACUUUUCUCCCCUUCGGCAUUCCAUUACCAUUUCGUUCUCCAUCUCCUCUUGUGUCUCUUCAGGCUGUCAAAGACAGUGUUUCUAGCUUUGUGCGUAAAACUACUGAGAAGAUUAGUACCCUUCACACAAGCCCUGAGCUGAAAGUGAGACCAGAACCCAGGAAUGAAGAUCAGUCUUGCGAAGAGGAAGUGAGUUCAGUUACCUGCCCACAGGAAGAAGACACUGAAGAGAAAAAAGAAGUCACUAGCCAACCCUCAAAAGAAGACAGGUUGCAAGAGCUCACAGCGGCAACAGCAGAAGCAAUGACCAAGCUGCUGGACCCUUUGGUUUUGUUUGAACCCCAGUCUCUGAGAGUGGUUUUACAAGAGUGGCUUUCACACUUAGAAAGAACAUUUGCCACAGUGGACUUUCCAGGCACUUCAGAUACUGGCAACUUACCUGUGAAACUAAAUCAGGAUGAGUCAGAAAAGAGAAUAUUAGAUGAAGAUAAUGGAGAAAAAAGGGACUUUUUAGACAAUGAAGAAACAGUUGACCCAACAGCGUGUGAAUCCAUAAGUAGUUCAAGGGAGCCCUCAGAUGACCUUUUUCGAGUGUGUUCUCCAUGCCCUCUACCAACCAAUCUUCAGAAGGACCUGGCUGAGUUGACAGCACUGUGUUUGGAAUUGAAUGUAUUGAAUUCUGCUAUCAAAAGCACGGAUGGACAUGCAGACCACACUUGGCAACAGUGCUCGCCUGAAAUUCUGGCUUGUCAGUUCCUAAAGAAGUACUUUUUUCUCUUGGAUUUGAAAAGAGCAAAAGAGAGCAUCAAGCUUAGUUAUGCUAGCAGCCCCUGUAUUUGGGAUACUUUUAUUGAAGGAUUGAAAGAAAUAGCAAGUUCUAAUCCUACAUAUAUGGAGAUGGGAGAAGGAGACCUACCGACAAGAUUAAAGUUAUUGGAUGACUCCAUUCCUUUUGACAGUCCUUUGUUGAUUGCUUAUGCUACCCGGUUAUAUGAGAAGUUUGGAGAAUCUGCCCUUCGAUCCUUGAUCAGGUUUUAUCCAUCCAUUUUGCCCUCCGACGUCAUACAACUUUGUCGCCAUCAUCCAGCUCAGUUUCUUGCCUAUUUAGAUGGUUUAGUGAAAUCAAGACCUGAAGACCAGCGGUCCUCUUUCCUAGAGUCCCUUCUACAACCAGGGUCCUUAAGAUUAGAUUGGCUACUUUUGGCAGUGUCCCACGAUACUCCACCAAGCACAAGUACUAUGGAUGAUGAAGGGUACCCCAAGCCUCAUUCGCACUUGUUCUCCUGGGGUUACAGUCAGCUGAUCCUUUAUCUAAUUAAACUUCCUGCAGAUUUUACAACCAAAGAGAAAAUGACUGACGUCUGUAAGUCCUGUGGAUUCUGGCCUGGCUAUCUCACUCUGUGCUUGGAGCUGGAGAGAAGAAGGGAGGCCUUCACCACCAUCGUGCAUCUGAAUGAUAUGAGCCUGAUGUCGGGGGACAGUGGUUGGAUCCCUGAGACUGUGGAGGAAUGGAAAUUUCUCCUCCAUCUCCUGCAGAGCAAGAGCCCAAGGACAGCCACCCGGGAAUCACAGAAUGGGAGCGUCAGUGAUGGGUCUUCCCCAGUCAGCAUGGAAAAUGUGGCUCUCUUGUUAGCUAAGUCCGUGGGCCCGGAUCGUGCCUGGUCACUGCUACAGGAAUGUGGUGUGGCCCCUGAGUUGUCGGAGAAGUUUACUAGAACCUGUGAUAUCCUGAGGAUUGCUGAGAAAAGGCAGAGAGCCUUGAUACAAAGCAUGCUUGAAAAAUGUGAUCGGUAUCUCUGGUCUCAGCAGACCUAAUGGAAGAAGUUUUGAAAAAACACUGAAUCGGGCUCCUGAAUCUUCAGAAUGCAGUGGGGACCUGAAGAGAAGCCGCACCCAGGGGACGGACCCUGCUGCUGUCGGUGUCUGCGCCCUUGGCACGUGUGGUCUGUGACCUCGGCCUUUUUCAACCGAAGUUGCAUCGUGAAGGAGUUGGUCCUCGUUUGCUGGCAUCAGAGUGCAAGCGGAGUACCCAGACGGGGAUUGCUGUCAUCCUACACACGACACCUGGAUGUGAUGUGACCAGGUGGGUGAAGAGGUGGUCAGGGAGAGGCCGCUUCACACCGCCUCUGAACUGCGGGAAGUGUGGAACCUUCCACUGCGAAACGUGACUGCACAGUGGUAUCUGACUGUGAGUCUGAGCCGAGGAAAGGGUUAGAGCCCUCCCUUCACUGUCAGCUGGAGUCACACAGUGGCUGGACGAGGGCAGAUGGCAAGCACUGGCACUGUGUGCCUUCAUUUCCUGACAGCCCUGGCAGGGCACAUUGCAGUAAUCCGCGUUUACCAGAAGGGCACAGAGAGAAAGUUCUAGCAUAACAAACACACGUUGCACCAUCUGAACGUGUCUUCCAAGGCAAACAGAGAAGUCAAGCAUUUCCAUGUGAGCAGUCUGUCUGGGUAUUAGGCAGUGUUUUCAGUGACAGCUUAGGUCUUUCACCAGCCUGAAACCUCUAGACAGACUGUGCUUCAUGGUUGCUUCGUUUUUGUGCCCCAAUUUGACCACUGUUUAGCAGACCUCUGGGGCAGUGCAAUGGCAAGAGCCUGUCUUGUGAAACCCACGCCUGGGUCUGAAUCUCUGCCUUUUCAAUAAAGGACCUGCAAGGUGCUUUGUUUCUCCAAGUUGUAGUUUCCUCGCCUGUUACAUGGGAACAGCAGCACUUGUUCAGGGCUGUUUGUGGACUGCAUGCGACCCUGCAAGUGCACUUGUAGCCCAGCACCUGGCACACAGGGUGAGGUUCGAGUACCGCUUAGUGAAAAUUAGACGAGGCCUACGUGUGGAGCAGGGAGCCUGUGACUAUUGUUUGGAAGGUGUGGAAGAUCGCUGCUGUAGCUAGCGGUGAUCACACUCACAGACACUGGAUCUGAAUGAAGCAGAGAGUGGGAGGACUAAAUCGAAGCGAAUCCUUUCCUUGCAUAUGUUUUUACCGCCCUGUUCACGGCUUAAUCAUUUACAGUCGUCCUUGCCUCUUCAUCUUCUGCUCUCACUUUUAAUUACUCACUUCUGAUGACUAGGGAAACCCUCUGAGUUCCGUGUUGGCGAUGUUUUCCAGCAGUCAUUUUUCCCAUUCUGAACUGCCGACAAUUCCCAUUCCCGUUGCUUCCUUCUGGGCCACUGGGGCUCCCUCAGCGAUGUCUGAAGUCAUGCCCAGUGCCUCCAGUCUUGGCACAGGAAAAGGCAGGCAACUGGGUGUCACCCAGAUGGGUGAUUUGCAAAGCUGGCCCCUAUCAGAGUCAGCACAGGAGCUGCUGAGUCCCAGUGCCAGGGAUCCUAACCUCGGAGUGGAAUCUGCAGAUCUAGGGACUGAUUCAGCCUCCCUUACCUUGCCACCCGCCUCACAUAGUUCUCCAUUUAGGGACAGCAGGGUCCUAAUUUGCAGCAGCUGGGAGGCCUCUCAGCAUGAUUGUUUCUGUCUCUUGGGAAGUUACUUGCUAGCGGGCCAGCCUUAGUCACUUCCCAGACAGAGACUUGUGGCAGUGCCUUCUGCUUUCAAAGUACAGCCUAAACCCUGGAGCUUCAGGAUUCGGGUCUCUGUGACUUGGUUCCAAACUGAUUCUCCAUCUCCCAGCCCAAGUCUGUGCUUCCAGGGACUUCUGGUUCUUGGAUACCUGGUGCAGUUUGCUCUCAGCGUUAGUUUCUGCUCCACCCUGACAUGCCCUUGUGCUAUGUCCACUGAAUACAGCCAGGACAGUUGGUACAUCUCAUUGUCACUGCAAUGUUUAGCACUGAUGUACUUGAAGCAUCCAGGUGACUGUGGUUCACAUUUUUUUAUUCUGUGGAUGAAUCUCAGGACCUGUGCCUGCGAGGCAGGCGUGAUGCUACUGAGCUAAAUCCUCAGCCUGAGUGAGGUUCACUUUUAAGAGUAUGUAACUGAGUUGAAAACUAUGCUGGCAACCCAGAAAACACUGAAUCCACGAACAUGGAUUUUCCUGUAGUCAACUUGAGCAGUUAUGUUUGGGUCCACCUAUCUCUUGUGAGGAUCUGAUGGGUAAGAGAAGAAAGCACUUAGAGCAGGGAAUGGCCCAUGGUCACCUCUUCCUGAAUGGAAAUGGACAUUGUUACUGUCUCCACCGAUCAGUGUUAGAGAAGUGUAAUGCCAACCACCAGAAGAAGGACAUACUGACUACCGACUCUGACGGGUGGAUAGGAAUCUCCAGGAGGCAUGGACUGAGUGCUGGUGAGAUGGUCACUGUUACGGAUCUGCGGCACUAGAAGGUGACAUUCUAUCUUGGUCUGAGUCCAGGAGUGGGGCAGAAAGGAAGGGAAAUGACUUUGAGAGUGUUUCUUGAUACCAUGAGCAGGGACCAGUUAACACCAACUGCAGGAAGGAAAGCGUGAGAAAAUGUAAAUACUCCUGGAACCAGACCUCCAAGGCAAGGAGAGACCACUGAGUAAUCCAGAUUCUGCAGAGAAGCAGAAAAGACACAGCUCACUGGCAGAGGAGAGCCUAGAGACAGAGCCUGCAGUUUACCCCAAGCUGAGAUACCAGGCCAGCAAGACCUGGGGGGAGGAUCUAAUUUGGAAAACAAACAGAGGGCUUUGUGAAAACACCGUCCUCCAACACUGCGGGGUCUUUUAGGGUUGUGGAAGGGGCAUCACCUCGGGCUGUCCUUUGAUUCUAGAGAGGGUCACUGCUGGAGCCUGUGCAUGAUAGCUGGAGGGAUUUUCCUUUUGGGUU